GACGUAGGGCGCGAGCGUUGUCCGGAUUUAUUGGGCGUAAAGCGCUCGUAGGCGGCUUGUUGCGUCGGCUGUGAAAACCCAUGGCUCAACCGUGGGCUUGCAGCCGAUACGGGCAGGCUAGAGUUCGGUAGGGGAGACUGGAAUUCCUGGUGUAGCGGUGAAAUGCGUAGAUAUCAGGAGGAACACCGGUGGCGAAGGCGGGUCUCUGGGCCGAUACUGACGCUGAGGAGCGAAAGCGUGGGGAGCGAACAGG
rnacentral:rRNA from 1 species